UACGGGGGGACCAAGCGUUGUUCGGAUUUACUGGGCGUAAAGGGCGCGUAGGCGGUCGUGACAAGUCACUUGUGAAAUCUCCGGGCUUAACUCGGAACGGUCAAGUGAUACUGUCGGACUAGAGUACAGAAGGGGCAACUGGAAUUCUCGGUGUAGCGGUGAAAUGCGUAGAUAUCGAGAGGAACACCUGCGGCGAAGGCGGGUUGCUGGGCUGAUACUGACGCUGAGGCGCGAAAGCCAGGGGAGCGAACGGG
rnacentral:rRNA from 1 species